CCUCCAGGGCUGCCACUGGGAGCUCCAGGGCUAGGAGGGCACAGUCUCAAAUAGAGGUCAGGAGUCAAGACUUUACAUUCCCUCUUGAACUGGUCAUUUAUUUCAAGCUGACUGAGGAAGUGCCUGGGGGGACUUGGGUGGGGCUGCUCUCCCCAGCUGAGGGCAGUGCUCUGGGAAGGACUCAGUGUUCGGGGCAGCCUCUGGAAGUGUUUCAGCCCUGAAGGGAGGAGAUGCAGGCUGUGCUCCACAGCAUCCCCUGCAGUGCAACAGUCUAUAGGCUUCAUCUCCCUGGCUCCCAGCAAAGCAGCCAGUCAUGAUAUGCAGUGUGUUUACACUUGGUGGAUGCCAAGAUUACUGCUUAUCCUCUUUCACCACUUCUACAAGCUGCUGACAAAGUGGCACCAGAAACAGAGGAGUUCAUCCAUCGGACACGAUUGUCCCUCCUCCAAGAUCAAGCAGCAUUGCAAAAGACACAGGCCAGAUGGCCUCCACGGUGGUCCAACUCAUGAAAAUUCAUGAAUUAAUUAGGUAUGUUGUUCUCUAUUUUUUGCAUACAUCAUCCCUUGACUUUAACACAUUUGUUGAGUGUUUAACUGUGUUCUAAGUAUUGGCAACUAAGCAACAACAAAAAGUUUUAAUAGAUAAGGAAACUGAAGCAGACAGAUUUUAAAACAUAUUUAAGCCAAACAACUGACAAAGUAAAUCAAAAUUUCUUAUCUGUGGAACCUUUUCAGGACUUUCUGAAGGCAGGGGCAUUUUUUAUUCAUUUCUAUAUGUCUAGUAGGUGGGACGCUUGAGCCAGCAUGUAAGAGGCUUUUGGUAAAAUAUCUGUUGGAUAGAUCGAUGACUCCAUCCACUAGAGUAUUGUCCUUUACAUUCUAUUAAAAAAAUGAAGGAAAGUUAUUAACAUGGGAUAUCCAGAGCCUGCAGAAAGAAAUACAACAUGGAUUAAACCAAUCAAUUUUAAUUCCAAAUGUUUUAAAUGCAAACAUUUCCCAAUGAUUAGAAGACAGUGCUGUAAAAAAUGUAAUUACACAUUCAUUUUGAUGGGUCCUUUCAUUUGUCCUCCUUGUACACAUAUUUUUAUAAUAAUUAUCAUAAUGGAAGACUGUAGGGAGUCCCAUGGCAACAGGGCUUCUGCUUUGUCAAGAAGAGACACACGGUUUCCAUCAUUUUGUGAUUUACUUUACUGAUGAAGCAAGGAAGAGGCACUACAGGAAGAGAGAAAAUGGAAAACAAGGAAAAUCAUUAUCUCAGUGAAUCAUCAAUAUUUUCUAGGUGGAUGCAUCCAUGGAGUUAAUAAAUUGGUAGGCAGGGCUGAAGUAUCUCCUAUUCUCCUGCUCCCUCCCACAGUUUAUUCACUGUCUUCCCUAUCCUCUCUGCAAACAGGGAGAGCCCAGCCCUAGCAGCUUCCAGAGCCACCCACAACAGGAAUGCAUCAGUAAGCACCCACAGUUUCCUUUGGCUUCUCUCUCUGAGCUCCCUGAUUCCCUUCCUGUCUUCUGAUCACUGCUCCCCUGCCCGUCCCUCUCAGCCAUCAUCCUCCAAGGUUCCAUCACAGUUCUUCGCAUCCAGGCACCUAGCACAGCCUCCCCUUGAUGCUGCAACGUCAACACUUCUGCUUUCGCAAAUCUGGAUUUUCAGCCCCAACUCUCUCAAGGGCCCACAGCUUGCCUUUCUGCCUUUGUGCUUGCCUUAUUCCAAAAGGGAAAUUACAUCAUAGGUCAAACACUGCAGAAAGGUGAACAAAGGGAAGAAAUGAAAUAAGGCUUUGGGAUCUAGGAGAUCACUGAUGAUGUGCAAGAGAGCAUUUCUAUGAAAUGUCAAGAGAAGCCAUAUUAGGAAGCUAUGUAUUGUCCACCAGCCAAAAACAACUUCCUUAACUUCUAAUCUCUUCAUAUUUUGAUGUUACUCCUGUUAUCUAAUCUUUAAAUUCCUACUCCUCACUAAUUCCAAAUCUCAGUCACUCUCAUGCUUUCCUUCCUAUCUUUAUUAUACUGUUGUUAGCUAUGUUUCAUCCAUUUAUGGAGGUUCAUGUUUUACCCUCUCUGCUAGUGUUUCAGAGUCUUCUGACUUACUGAGUUCAGUGGAUCAUACUGAACCAUUGCACUUUGACAUGCGUGUGUGCUCAGUCACUCAGUCAUGUCUGACUAUUUGCAACUCUAUGGACUGUAACCCACAAGGCUCCUCUGUCCAUGGAAUUUCCCAGGCAAGAAUACUGGAGUGGGUUGCCAUUUCCUUCUCCAGGGGAUCUUCCUGACCCAGGGAUUAAACUCACAUCUCCUGCAUUGGCAGGUGGAUUCUUGACCACCACACCACCUCGGAAGCUUGCAUCUUGAUAUAUCCUAGUCUAUUCUCCUUUUCUUGUUAAGUGAACUUAAUUCAAUUUCAUUAUCUGCAGUUCUUAGAAUAGACCAUAUUUGUAGGUAAUACUACAAUUUGUAUUUAAUAUGGGUGAGAAUUAGCUUCUACCCCACAACCUCUCCACUGAGAAUAAAUUCUGUCACAUAAAUAUAUUUACUAUACAAAUAUUCAUUAGCAAGUAGACAAACAAAUAUUCAUAUAACCUGUGUGUAAGCUCCAUAAAUUCUAGUUCUUUAUGUUUUUAUUGCUCCAAUUACCAUCAUACAUUUAAUGUCUAAUUAAGGCAAAAUGAUAUCUACUUCAGUGGUAGGAUUCUGUUUCCAUUACAGUUGACAUCAGGAAACCAGAAUCCUUUGACUCAAAUGCUGGACCUAGACAAUUAAGGAUUAAAUUUUGAAUGUCAUGCUUUCAAGCCUUGCUCUAUAUCCCACUCAUGCAAGAGUAGGACAGUCUUUAGUUUAUGGUAACCAAUCUACACAAUUUGGGUACCUUUAAUUUCACCAGUGAGAACUCAUUUCUGACACUUAGAACGUUAUUAAGCAAAGGAUCUGAUGUCAAUUGAUUUUGUUCAUUUAACACUUACACAGCACUUACUCUGUGGCAUAUAGUGCUCUAAAAACUAUAUGUGUUAACUCAUUUAAUCCUCUUGGCAGUCUACAACAUAGUCAUUAGUAUAUUCCCAGUUUACAGGCUCAGAAAUUGAAGUGCAGGUAAUUUAAAUUCCUGAGAUAUUAUAACUGGUAAAUAACAGAACCAAGACUCCAAUGGGGGCGGUCUGAUUCUAGGGUUCACAGUCCCCCUAAGUCCUCUGCCCCUCUGGAUAAUGGAAGCAUUUAGAGAUGUUAAUGUUACUUCUGAGGUACAGGCUUCCUGAUUAGAAAUGCUAGCUGAUCUAGUGAAUAUACUAGGAUGACUUGGGUUGUGGCUUAAGCUGACUAAUAAUGACAGCCAUUAUGACCCACUGUCUAUAUCAAAGUAUUUUAAAGUGAAUAACUAACACUAGUUAAUUCUAUGCUUUGUUAGUAUGUUAGUGAAGAAGGCUGGUUUUUACAAAAGCCUACUUAUUUAGGUUUGUAGAUCUUCUGUCUCCAACUCUACUGCUUAUGCCUUGUGCUGGCAACCAUUCAAGGUACUUUAGAAUGUGUAGAAUUAUACAAUCUAUAUAUAAAGGGCCUUGGAGCUCAACUAGUUUACCCUUCUGAACUUUUUAAUUCUCUGUUUACAUCAUCCUGUCAGAUGAUUGUGGAGCUUUUGUUUGAAUAAUGCCUUUGGAGGAUACUCGCUGUCUUGGGGCAGCCAUCUAACUGGUAGACAUUUCUGCUUAUAAGAAGAUUCUUUAUGUUAAGUAAGAUUUGUUUUUUCCCAAACCUCCAACAAAUUGACCACGUUUCUAUGUGGCCCUUAAGGGACAGAACUUAUGAAAACAAGACAUGCUCCCUCACAAAAUAAUAAAAAAAAAUACAAUGUUUCCUGAGGUUGCACACUGCCCUCAUGAAGGAUGCUUGUCACAUGAGAAGGGUUCAUUGUGAUAGGCAUAA